UUGGAGGGCAAGUCUGGUGCCAGCAGCCGCGGUAAUUCCAGCUCCAAUAGCGUAUAUUAAAGUUGUUGCAGUUAAAAAGCUCGUAGUUGAACUUCGGGGUCUACCCAUUGGUCAGGCUUAAUUGUCUGUACUGGUGAGAUGGAUCUCUACCUUCUGAGGAACUUUCAUGCCAUUUAUUUGGUGUGAUGGGAAAUCAGGACUGUUACCUUGAAAAAAUUAGAGUGUUUAAAGCAGACUAUCGUCUGAAUACAUUAGCAUGGAAUAAUGAAAUAGGACGGACUGAUUCUAUUUCGUGGGUUUCUAGGAUCACCGUAAUGAUUAAUAGGGAUAGUUGGGGGCAUUAGUAUUCAAUUGUCAGAGGUGAAAUUCUUGGAUUUAUUGAAGACUAACUACUGCGAAAGCAUUUGCCAAGGAUGUUUCCAUUAAUCAAGAACGAAAGUUAGGGGAUCGAAGACGAUCAGAUACCGUCGUAGUCUUAACCAUAAACUAUGCCGACUAGGGAUCGGGCGAAGUUAAUUUUAUAAUGACGCGUUCGGCACCUUACAGGAAACCAAAGUGUUUGGGUUC
rnacentral:rRNA from 1 species